UACGGGGGGGGCAAGCGUUGUUCGGAAUUACUGGGCGUAAAGGGCUCGUAGGUGGUCAACUAAGUCAGACGUGAAAUCCCUCGGCUUAACCGGGGAACUGCGUCUGAUACUGGAUGGCUUGAGUUUGGGAGAGGGAUGCGGAAUUCCAGGUGUAGCGGUGAAAUGCGUAGAUAUCUGGAGGAACACCGGUGGCGAAGGCGGCAUCCUGGACCAACACUGACACUGAGGAGCGAAAGCCAGGGGAGCAAACGGG
rnacentral:rRNA from 1 species